rnacentral:rRNA from 1 species
CCUACGGGAGGCUGCAGUGAGGAAUAUUGGUCAAUGGGCGAGAGCCUGAACCAGCCAAGUCGCGUGAAGGAUGACGGCCCUACGGGUUGUAAACUUCUUUUGUCAGGGAGCAAUUGAGUCCACGUGUGGGCUUAGCGAGAGUACCUGAAGAAAAAGCAUCGGCUAACUCCGUGCCAGCAGCCGCGGUAAUACGGAGGAUGCGAGCGUUAUCCGGAGUUAUUGGGUUUAAAGGGUGCGUAGGCGGAAUAUCAAGUCAGCGGGAAAGAUUCGGGGCUCAACCCAGUCGUGCCGUUGAAACUGAUGUUCUUGAGUGGGCGAGAAGUAUGCGGAAUGCGUGGUGUAGCGGUGGAAUGCAUAGAUAUCACGCAGAACUCCGGUUGCGAAGGCAGCAUACCGGCGCCCAACUGACGCUGAGGCACGAAAGCGUGGGUAUCGAACAGGAUUAGAUACCCGAGUAGUC